AACGAACGCUGGCGGCAGGCUUAACACAUGCAAGUCGAGCGCCCCGCAAGGGGAGCGGCAGACGGGUGAGUAACGCGUGGGAAUCUACCCAUCUCUACGGAAUAACGCAUGGAAACGUGUGCUAAUACCGUAUACGUCCUACGGGAGAAAGAUUUAUCGGAGAUGGAUGAGCCCGCGUUAGAUUAGCUAGUUGGUGGGGUAAAGGCCUACCAAGGCGACGAUCCAUAGCUGGUCUGAGAGGAUGAUCAGUCACACUGGGACUGAGACACGGCCCAGACUCCUACGGGAGGCAGCAGUGGGGAAUAUUGGACAAUGGGCGCAAGCCUGAUCCAGCCAUGCCGCGUGAGUGAUGAAGGCCCUAGGGUUGUAAAGCUCUUUCACCGGUGAAGAUAAUGACGGUAACCGGAGAAGAAGCCCCGGCUAACUUCGUGCCAGCCGCCGCUGUAACAC
rnacentral:rRNA from 1 species